rnacentral:rRNA from 1 species
GACGAACGCUGGCGGCGUGCUUAAUACAUGCAAGUCGAGCGAGGUCCAUCUGGUGGCAACACCAGUGAAGGCCGAGCGGCGAACGGGUGAGUAACACGUGAGCAACCUGCCCCGAAGUCUGGAAUAACAUCGGGAAACCGGUGCUAAUACCGGAUCGCCCCACCUGACCGCAUGAUCGGGUGAGGAAAGAUUUAUCGCUUCGGGAGGGGCUCGCGGCCUAUCAGCAGUUGGUGGGGUAACGGCCUACCAAGGCGUCGACGGGGUAGCUGGUCGUGAGGAGGACGACCAGGCCACACUGGGACUGAGACACGGCCCAGACUCCUACGGGAGGCGAGCAGUAGGGAAUCUUGCGACAA